UCUCUCUCUCUCUCUCCCGUCUCCUCCCUCUCAACCCUAGCCGCCACCACCCACCCUCUACUACUCCACCACGCACCCACCUCCCCUCUGGAUUAGGUGCAGGCCGGCCGGUGCGCGCAGGCGGCGACGCUCCACUCGAGGGCAAAGGAAGAGCGACGGCGGUCAAGGCGGGGGUUGGCGGCCGACGGGGGUCUGGCGGGCGUGGCGGCAGCUGGAAGGGCAGCAGCGGCCUGUGGGGCGUCGACCAAACCGGCAGUGACGCCGAUGGAGGGGAAGUGCCCGGCAGGCGCGUGCAUGUGGGAGAAACUUGGGGGCCUUGUGGACUGGGGAGAUGGCAGACACCAAGUUUCUUCAAUUGAUCUGGACAGAGCCACGGCAGCGCACGCGAGGGGCGGAGGUGAGUGACCCUCUGGAGCCGCGCACGUUGAUAGAUUCCAGAUCGGGCGCGGGUCGAGCAGGAGCGGCUGCUGCAGAGAGGGCAGCAGAGGAACACAUCAUGGUGAGCUCCUGCCCCGGUGGCUACCCGCAGAGGAGAGGUCGAAGAUGGCUCCCAGUUCAUGGCAGAGAGGCCGACACAAAUAUUGUUUGGGUGACGGUUAAUUCCUACACCGAGUCGUGUUGCUGUACAAAUAGCUCUCUUAUUUGGUGGUGCCAUGGUGUCCCUCUCCAGGUUCUGCAGCGGGCAAUGCUCGAGUUAAGAGUUGGGUGCAUAGAAUAUAUAUACAUAUGUUGCCACGUCUGAAUAAACGGAGAUGAGCAGCAGCGGAGAGGAGAUAUCUAUCCAACUGUCAUCCUUCCCUGGCUUGGUUUUGUCAUUUCCGUCAGCGUCUGCUUCCUUCAUUGGUCGUCGCUUGUUUGUACUCAGCUGUAGUUUAGAGAGCAUAAUAUAUUUUCCAUGAUUUCAAUUGAAUACGCCACCCAGUUUGCUAAUAUAAUUGUCCAGUUCUCUCUCAUAGUGAUUCUUACAAAAUUAUCAUGCAUACAGGUCCAUAUGUAACCACUGGAUUAAUCAAAUGUAGAUUCUUUUGUAAAUAUGGUAGUCAUAUGUUUAGAUACUGGGGGAGUAAAUCUGUGAGAAAAUAUUCAAAGUUCAUCAGGUGUAUUUGCUUCUAAUCUGAUUAUUGUUCUAUUGCAUUUGCAAAGUCCAGUUCAGAUACACUGUUUUCUCCUUAUUCUCGCUAAAGCAGCUUUUUGGUUCAUUGUUACUUUGUUCCUGCUUGCUUAUUAGCUUAACCCCAAGGCUGCAUAAUCUAUGGCAGAUCUUGCUGAGUAACCAUACUUGUUUGAAGAUUAGCAAUGUGCAAGCAGCCAUUGCUACCAAAAGAGAAUGGAAGUAGUGCAAAGGGCCAAUGUUGCAUAGCCUUUACCCACUCUGCACUGCCGUAAAAUCUCAAGUAGCGACUACUCCCGGUACAUCUUCUGUUGAUCACGAGCAACACCAAGAGAGAUCUUUGUUAUUUGCAGUGGCUUGUUGGGUUUGAAGGAUGAAGCAAAUCCCAAGCAAGGAACAGGUUAACCUAUCUUGAUGCGUACUGCUGCUCUUGAUAUGCAUCAAGAUUUGAUUUAGAUGAAGCUAAUAAUGAAAAGUGUCAUCAGUGUGCCGUUAUAUGUAUUAUCGACCAAUACAUGUCUAGCAUUACUCGGAUAACAAAUCAAUAAUAGAAAGUUGUUUAAUGUGGAUUUCCCUUUUUUGGCCUAUAAACCUGCCAUGGAAUGGUUUCUAAA